AUCCCGGGGCUCAACCCCGGAACUGCUUUUGAAACUGUCUUUCUAGAAUGUGAUAGAGCUUGGGAGAAUUCCUAGUGUAGAGGUGAAAUUCGUAGAUAUUAGGAGGAAUACCAGUGGCGUAGGCGCCCAACUGGAUCAUUAUUGACGCUCAGGCACGAAAGCGUGGGGAGCAAACAGGAUUAGAUACCCUGGUAGUCCACGCCCUAAACGAUGUGUGCUAGUUGUUGGAUGUUCAGCAUUCAGUGACGCAGCUAACGCGUUAAGCACACCGCCUGGGGAGUACGGCCGCAAGGUUAAAACUCAAAGAAAUUGACGGGGACCCGCACAAGCGGUGGAGCAUGUGGUCUAAUUCGAAGCAACGCGAAGAACCUUACCAACCCUUGACAUCCUGGUCGCGGAUUAGAGAGAUCUUUUCCUUCAGUUCGGCUGGACCAGUGACAGGUGCUGCACGGCUGUCGUCAGCUCGUGUCGUGAGAUGUUCGGUUAAGUCCGGCAACGAGCGCAACCCCUAUUUCCAGUUACCAUCAUUUAGUUGGGUACUCUGGCAAAACUGCCCGUGACAAGCGGGAGGAAGGUGGGGACGACGUCAAGUCAUCAUGGCCCUUACGGGUUGGGCUACACACGUGCUACAAUGGCGGUGACAAUGGGCAGCAAGCUCGCGAGGGCAAGCAAAUCCCUAAAAACCGUCUCAGUUCGGAUUGCACUCUGCAACUCGAGUGCAUGAAGCUGGAAUCGCUAGUAAUCGUGGAUCAGCAUGCCGCGGUGAUACGUUCCCGGGUCUUGUACACACCGCCCGUCAAGCAAUGGGAGUUGGUUCUACCCGAAGAUGGUGCGCUAACCUUUUAGGAGGCAGCCAGCCAC
rnacentral:rRNA from 1 species